ensembl:lncRNA
GCCGGAGCAGGGGAGGUUGGCUGCUUCUUAAGCCAGUUAUCUCAGCGCUCCACGCUGCUGGUGCUCUGCCAGCGCUCACAGCCCUGACGACAUUAAUGAGUCCAGCUCUCUUCUGCAGGCGAAUGAUGGACGUAUGCAUGAGAUUCCCUGAUACUAGCCCAAAUAAAGCACACACACUCAGAACGCAAGGCCUAUGGGAAGCAUUGAUGCUGCAAACACGCCACGCACAGAGCAAGGAAGGGAGCAAAUUCAGUCCCUGAUACAGAGAAGGCAAACGCAUCCUAAUCAUUCGCGCCUGCGGCACCGGGAUGGGUGGAGGUCUGGGGGCUGAGCUGAGGAUGCAGGCAUCACGCUGAUGAAAAUGAAAUUGGAGGAGGUGUAGUGACCUCUUAUCAGUCGUCUAACAUAGAGGGCCGUGGGGCAAACAGAGGUCUGAACCAAAGAGUGAUUACACCGGCAAUUACAUCAGAUGGAGGUGGAUGUAGCAGAGGAGAAGCGCCAUUGCACACGCUCAAAAGUUCCCCUGGAACCAGCCAUACAAGAGUUGUUCAGUGUGUAUGGCUGUCCUGUCGCCAAGAAGAGAAAACCCCUGGACACUCAUGCCCUGGAGCCCUCGCCCAAGAGGAAGGUCUUUCUUACAGUCGUAGAGCAGCCGUCAAUGGAGAAAUGCUACAAAACGCACAAAAUGGAGGAGAUGGAUGAAAAAGAGGAGGAAGAGGAGGAGGAGCAGGAGGAGGAGGA